AGCCUUGUGGUCUAAUGGAACGACGCCAGUCGCCAUCUCACAAAGGCCGAAGCUGGAGACUCCGAGUUCAAUUCCCGGCUAGGCUG